GCCUCGUUAUAUCAGUCGGUAGAUUAAAUGACUCUUAAUGCGGACUCUUAAGUUCCGGUUGAUCAUUCGGUCGUGGGUUCGAGCCCCACACGAGGCU
rnacentral:tRNA from 1 species